rnacentral:lncRNA from 10 species
CUGGUCCCCAGCCACGAGCACAGUUUCCAGUAUUCAGAAACAUUAAUACGUGGAUCUGAGCAACAAUCUUCAAGAUGCGUAGUAGAUUUUGGUCUGCCACAGGCUGCCUUAAGCACAUGAAGAAGUGUCACACCUCCCUCACCAGCCUGAGUUAUGCUGGGGGCAGUAAAGUGGGUAAGAGCACAGACUUUGCAAAAAACAACUAAUGCUGGUGAGGCUGAGGAGAAAAGGGAAAAUUUAUACACUGCUGGUGAGAAUGUGUAUUAGUUCAGCCACUGUAGAAAGCAGCUUGGAGACUUCUCAAAGAACCUAAAACAGAACUACCAAGUGACCCAGCAAUCCCAUUAAUGGGUAUAUACCCAAAGGAAAACAAAUCAAUCUAUAAGACAGACACGUGCUCUCGGAUGUUUAUUGCAGCACUAUUCAUAAUAGCAACGAUAUGGAUUCAACCCAGGUGCCCAUCAACAGUGGAUUAGAUAAUGAAAAUAUGGUAUACACACACCCCAAACCUAAGUAUCAUGCAAUACAUUCAUGGAACAAACCUGCAGAUGCACCCCUGAAUCCAAAAUAAAAUUAUUUUUUAAAGGAUGAAAAUAGAUAAGUAAAUACAAAUUAAAAAAAGAAAAGAGCACAGGCUUUGGGGCCAGACAGUCUAUGUUGAACCCUGGCCCUUUGUGACUGUUGGCAACGUGCCUAACAUCGUGUGUCUCAGUGUCACCGUCCGUAAAAUGAGGACGCAGGUCAUACCCAAUUCAUCAGAUUGUUGAGAGGAUUAAAUACGCUCCUAGAACUUAGAAAAGUUCCUGUCACUUCAGCACUUUGUAGUAUGAGAUAUUAUCUUCCUUUUAGAGUUCAAUCUAUGUCAAUGUCAUUGUUGAUCAUGUCAACGCAAAGCCUCCUCAGGGUGACAGAUUGGAAUUUGGAAGGGCUGUGCUCAAAACUAAAGCCAAAGGAAACAGGGAGUGGGUAGGUUUGGGGGAACACAGGCACCUUUCAUUUUCUUUAGGGUUUUUACUUUCCUCCCAUGAUCCACUUGAUUGCUGGCUUGGUGAUUCUUAGCAAAAUAAAUUAAGCAAUUGUUUGGCUUUUAUUCACUGGGGUUUUCUAUGUCAGUGCUGAUUUUGACAUAUAAUAAAAGUAAGCUUUUAUUUUUUCUAAAAAGUAACAAGCAAAGAGGCCUUCCUGAGAGUUUGACGGAUCAUCAUGACAAAACUGUGGUUCAACUGUUCAGGAAGAGAAUGGUUUCCUGCUUAACUGGUGCUGGAUUGCUCAUAUCUAGAAGGGUUUGUUAACAUCCAAGAGAAAACAGCAGGCUAGGGAAAGAAAAACCAAAGAUGGCUAGAAUUUGCUACAAACUCGUAUCCACCUAAAAGCCAAAUAUAGAACUUUAGUCCUAAAGGAUUUACUUUCUUCACAAGGGUAGUUGGUCAUUCAAAAUAGAUUGAUCAUGGACGCCACACACAUGUAUACACAAAAUAUAACUAAGAAAAUUAAGACAGUAUAUAGAUAAAAUUCCUCUACGCUCUUUAGAAGGGGUCUGUGGCCUCUGAGGUGCUGGAAGAAUUGGAUUUCUUGAUCUGGGUGCUGAAUACAUGGGUGUGUUGAUUUUUUUUUUCAUUUGUUUGUAAAGAGUUUUCUAAGUUUUGUGAAGUCAAAUAAAGGCAUUCCCUUACUAGAAAAAUGGAUGCUUGCAAUGAUUAAAUAAAACAAACAUCAUCAAAGAGCAAAGAGGGCCCGGUGCAGUGGCUCACGCCUGUAAUGCCAGCACUUUGGGAGGCCAAGGUGGGUGGAUCACGAGGUCAGGAGAUCGAGAACAUCCUGGCUAACACAGUAUAAUCCCAUCUCUACUAAAAAUACAAAAAAUUAGCCGGACAUGGUGGCGUGCGCCUGUAGUCCCAGCUACUUGGGAGGCUGAGGCGGGAGAAUCGAUUGAACCCAUGAGGCAGAGAUUGCAGUGAGCCAAGGUCAAGCCACUGCACUCCAGCCUUGAUGACGGGGCAAGACUCCAUCUCAAAAAAAAAAAAAAAAAAAAAGCAACAAAGAGUGUUGUAGUAAUGUGUGGAACCCAGUUCCAGGCUUAACUGACCUCCCCAGGGCAAAGUAAGUCACUUCCCACUUUGUGCUGCAAAAUGCAGUGGAUGUCCCUGCCUCCAGCUUAUGGUAUUUGUCUCCCCAGAUAGAUGGCCACCUUCCAAAGGAACCAUCUUUUCUUACUCCUAUGUUAAUCUUCAGCAUCUAGGGCAAUGAGAGGUGGACAGAGGACUUACCAUCUUGGUCCUGGUAAGGCAGCUUCCUGGAAUCACAGGACCACAGGGACAAAGGCAUCUGAGGGGUCGUUGACACAACCUUCUGUCCCCGAUGGCAGGACACAGUGAUCGCUUCUCCUGGCACAUGUCUCAGGGAUACCAUGCCUUUCUUAUAUAUUGUGCAAUUAUUUUAUAUGGGUAGUAGACAAAAUUUAUGAAAUCAAAUCUUUAAAUUUCUACUUUAUGGCUAAAUUUCUACUUUCUGGAUCUUUUGUCUUGUUUGAGAAGUCCUUUCCCCACUCACAUAUUUAAAAUAUAUUCUCCAGUAUCCUGUUCCAGUACUUUUGUGGCUUUAUCUUCUAAAUUUAUCACUUUGAUCUAUCUGAAAUUUGUUCAGGGUACAAAGUAGAGAACUACUUCUUCCCGAAGAACAGCCUCAAUACCCACUUAGUCCCAUCCUUUCCCCAGAUUUGAGGUGGCUCAUUAAUCACACAAUGAACUCUCACAGAUUCUCACAGAUUUUAUUACCCGAUGGUUUUUUACUCUAUUGGUUUGUCUAUUUCUGAGCCAGAGCCACAGUUUUUAACUGUAGGACUAAUUCUUUCUCAUUUCCCCCUCUUUCAAAAAUACUUUUCCUAUUUUUACUCAUUUACUCUUCCAGAAAAGCCUUAGAAUUAGUUUGUCAAAUUAGGAUUGGAAUUACAUCAGAACUAUGGAUUAAUUUGGGGAGAUUGGUGUCUUUGCCAUGUUAAGUCUGUCUUCUAAUAAUGUGGUGCUGUAGUCAUUGUCUUCCGUCUCUUUCGCUAAAGUUUCGUAGUUUUCUUCCUACUCUUGCACCUCUAUUAAUCUCUAGAUUUUUUUUCUGAUAUGGUAAAUGGGAUUUUUUCCAAUUUCUACUUUACCACUACUGUUAUAUAGCAAAGCUACUAAUUUUUGAAUAGUUACCUUGAAUCUUGCUAUCCUAUUGGUCUCCUUUAUUCGUUAUAGCAGUUUAUUAAUUGAUUCCCUAAUUUUCUAGAUAUUUUCUUUGUCUUUUUCUAAUAUUUGUACUUUAGUUCUCUUUCUUGACUCAUUUCACUGUCUGCUAUAUCUAGAAAAAUUUAUUGGUGUUGGUGAUAACAGGUAACCUUAACAACAGGUCUUGACUUUAAUGGAGAUACCUAUAAUAUUUUACCACUAAGCAUGAUGUUAUGGGUUUCCAGCAAAAGUUCCUUAUCAAGUUAGGGUGUUAAGUGUUUCCAAAUGCUUUUUUACCAUUUGUCAUAUGAUUAUAAUUUUUUUCUCAUUAUAUUGUUUUUCUUCUUACUAGAUCGUCUAAUGCUGAAUUGUAUUUGCUUUCACGGCAUAGA